GACGAACGCUGGCGGCGUGCUUAACACAUGCAAGUCGAACGGAAAGGCCCUGCUUUUGUGGGGUGCUCGAGUGGCGAACGGGUGAGUAACACGUGAGUAACCUGCCCUUACUUUUGGAUAACUUCAGGAAACUGGGGCUAAUACCGGAUAGGAGCCCCUUCCUCAUGGUGGGGGUUGGAAAGGUUCGGCGGUUGGGGAUGGACUCGCGGCUUAUCAGCUUGUUGGUGGGGUAGUGGCUUACCAAGGCUUUGACGGGUAGCCGGCCUGAGAGGGUGACCGGCCACAUUGGGACUGAGAUACGGCCCAGACUCCUACGGGAGGCAGCAGUGGGGAAUAUUGCACAAUGGGCGGAAGCCUGAUGCAGCAACGCCGCGUGCGGGAUGACGGCCUUCGGGUUGUAAACCGCUUUCGCCUGUGACGAAGCGUGAGUGACGGUAAUGGGUAAAGAAGCACCGGCUAACUACGUG
rnacentral:rRNA from 1 species